GCCGGGCAUGGUGGCUCAUGCCUGUAAUCCCAGCACUUUGGGAGGCCGAGGCGGGAGGAUCGCUUGUGCCCAGGAGUUCGAGACUGGCCUGGGCAACAAAGUGAGACCCCCCCCCCC
ensembl:misc_RNA Metazoa_SRP Metazoan signal recognition particle RNA